ensembl:lncRNA
AGCACAGCCAAGGGUCAUAUCAUGCAGCCUUGGACAUCUGGUCUGGGUGUCUCUGCCUGGCUGCCAAGCUCAAGCGCAAAGGGAGAGGGGAGGAGAAAAGCAAAUGAACCCCCAUCCAUGACCCCGAUGCUCCCCAGAACCACCUUUUCCCCCUCCUCUGCCCUCUCUGGAGCCUUUUCCAGUGUCCACACACUGCUGACUCUCAGCGCAGGUGUGAAACAUCCCCUCUGGAACUCCUGCAGUUAUUUCAUCACAAAUCCUCCCAAGACGAAGCCCUUUAUCCCCCCAGAUUCCUGGAAUACCAAACACUUGGAAUGACCUGGAGCAUUCCUCUCAUCCAUCCAUCUAUCUGUCCCACACCGAGCUUGCCCAGACCAUCUGCAAGGUCGUGAUCCCCAGCACUGCUGAAAGCACGUGUAUGUGUAUGGGAGAUGUAUGGGUCUAGGCAGUCUGAGCGCCAAGCCAGCCAUCUGCUUCACAGAAUGCCACAUGUGCUCGUUGUUUUUAAAAGGGAAUGGAGCAAAACAACCCCUCGUGAGAUAACGGUCUGCAAAGUCCUCCAAAGUCGGCCCCAAAGAGCUGCAGCUCUCUGGUUGCUGGGGCAGGAAGGACUAUUCUCUGAGCUCUGAUGUCUGCUCAAGAUCAGCCUCAGGUAUUUUCAGAGGUGAUGGAGGAGACUGUGAGAAGAGCUGCCAGUGGCUUAAGCCCUUGGCAAAAAAUACGGUGUGUUGGAGAGUUGCCUGCAAAGGGAGCGGGGCUCAUGGUGAGAGGGCUGUGCUGUGAUCUCAGGCACACGGUGUCCAUCCCUCCACCCAUCCUCUGGGCUGACACCUCCACAGGUGUUAAAGACAUCAGCUGGCCACCCUCCUGGUGGUGUUUUUCCAUCUGCCUGCUCUUGACAGCUCGUAUUUUUCAAGCCAUAGGAUGGGUGUGCAGUACUGCAAUAGGGCAGUGCCUGAGGAUGGAGGCUGGAGCGUAAUGAGAGCUGAGUAACCCACAGCUCAGGGAGCACGGAAACAACUGUUUACAAGGGUGGGUAGUGACAGGACAAGGGGGAAUGGUUUUAAACUGAGACAGGGGAGGUUUAGGUUGGAUAUUAGGAGGAAGUGUUUCACACAGAGGGCGGUGAGGCACUGGAACAGGUUGCCCAAGGAGGCUGUGGAUGCCCCAUCCCUGGAGGCAUUCAAGGCCAGGCUGGAUGUGGCUCUGGGCAGCCUGGUCUGGUGGUUGGCGACCCUGCACACAGCAGGGGGAUUGAAACUAGAUGGUCACUGUGAUCCUUUUCAACCCAGGCCAUUCUGUGAUUCUAUGAUUCUAUUCUAUGAUUCACACAGUGCUGAGAUUUUGGGGUGCUUGCCUCUCAGUGGGAUGCAUUAGGGCCACUGCAAGGCCCCUGCUGCACCCAUGGUCUGCACAAUGCUCAGCCAGGGGCCAGACAUGGGCUAGGAGAUGACAGCUGCAGCUGGGAGAAGAAACACAGCGAGUCCUCCAGGUUUAUGUCAGUGAAUCAGAACAACAAAGUGACUGCUUCCAAGAAACCUCCCUUCAACCUGCAAUUGGAAAUACUUUCUGUGCCUUUGUUGCUCAACAGCAUACUAGCAUCCUCUAAGGGGAAUGGUUUUGUUUCUGUGAUCAGUGUGUAUCAACAGCUUUGCUGCUGCUGCUGAUUUUGGGGGUUUUGGUCCAAAAGCAAAGAGAGCUCCAAUGUAGAGAUGAAGGUCUGGUCUCACCUGCCCCAUGGGUGUGAACUGGCACAACAAGCUUGUUGGCUCUUUUAUAGACAGCUCUAUUAACGAAGAAGGGGGGAGAAUGAUAAAUGACACCUGGAGUUGGGCAGGGUAAACUACUCACAGGCACUGCAUAUAGCUGAUCUCGAAAAUAAAUUCCAGCUAAAUUCAUUAAAACCUUGAAGGAGGGGGAGAGUGGAGGUGAAACAAGUCAGCCAGCCUUUCAAACGUGCGCUCCCGGACCUUCCAGCCUCCAUCCAGCAGAAGUCAAGUCGGUGCCGUGCAUCCUCUGGCACAGUGCAGGAUGCAGCAGGUGAGAUCAGCCAAACUCCAUCCCCUGCAUGGACACCCAAAGGUGAGCAAAGCUCACAAGUUCAGUCUGCAUUUGACGUGCAGGGAGUCUUCCAGCCGGCUCCGCUUGGACAGAGGGUAGGACUUCAGAAAAUCCAGCUCUGGAAAUGUGUUUAAUCAGGACAAAGCUUAAUUAGAGCCGUCUGGAAGGCUUUUUUUUCCCCCUACGAUUCUCUUCUCAUGCAAAACAGAGCUUCAGUCGGUGCGGAGGAUUAUUAGGAAUUUCAGCAACAGGGUGGAUGCUGUUGUCCAAAAUGCCUUCUUCAAACAAACUCUCCUCUGGGGCUUCGAAGUGGUUGAGCUAUUUAUUCAUUUGACUGUCAAUGAGGCGCUUUCACAGAAAGCUGCUCUAGAAAUGGAGCCUUUCCAGGCGUGGUGGGGUGAUGGAUUGCUGUUCUGUAUGGAAAUCAGUUCAAAUUUUUCAGCCUCCUAUUCAAACGGGAGGCUUCUAUCACUGGCACAGCAGUUGAUCGAUUCACCGUCGUGCUUUAAGCUCAACAACCU